UUAACAGAAAAGUUAAGACACAGAAGAUAUUUAUAUUACAUAAAUCUCACAAAGGACUAAUAACCAGAAUAUGCAAAGAAUUCAUACAAAUCAAUAAGAAAAAGACAUACAACCCAAUCCAAAAAUGGGCAAAAGACUUGAACAGACACUUCGUAAAAGAGAUUUCCAAAUGGCCAAUGAACACAUGAAAAGAUGCUCAAUUUCAUUACUCACCAGGGAAAUGCAAAUUAAUACCACAAUGAGAUACCACUACACACCACCAGAAUGGCUAAAAUGAAAAAGACAAAUAAGGUCAAGUGUUGGCUAGAACACAGAGCAAUCAGGAUUCUAAUACAUUGGAAGUAGGAAUGUAAAUUGGUUUACACAUUUUGGGAAACUUGUGAUGUCUAUUCAAGUUGAUCAUACACAUACCUUAUGAUUCAAUAAUUCCAUUUCUAAGUAUAGAUAGAUAGGAAUAUGUAUAUAUAGUCCCAAAUAGACAUGUACAAGAAUUUUCACAGCAGCACUUUUUAUAACAGCCUCAAACUGCAAAUAACCCAAAUGCCAUCAACAACUGAAUAAGUAGCAGUAUACUCACAUAAUGGAAUACUAUAAUGAAAAUAAACAAAGUUUAACAACAUGUAACAAUAUGGAUGAAUCUCACUGGCACAAUGUUGAACAGCUCAACAUAAAAAAGCUCAUACUGUAAUGAUUCUAUUUACAUGAAGUUCAAAAUGGGUAACACUAAUCUAUGGUAUUAACAAUGAGAUUGGUUACCUGGGGUGGGGAGAAGGGCUAGCUAUUAGAAGGGAGGCAUGAAAGAGAUUUUGGGGUUCUGGCAAUACUGUGUUUCCUCAUCUAGGUGCUGGUAUCACAUGGUGUGUUCACUUCGAAAAUGCAGACUUGCACACGUAGAAUUUGCGUACAUGUUUAUAUUAUUUUCAGUAAGACUUAUUAAUAUAAAACAAAAACAAAACCUUUGGGUUUGUGACUCCUGUAGACAAGUGGCUGGGAAGAUAACAAAGGAUAACAGAUUAGGCUAUGCCAGGAUCAGCCAAGAUGCAGGCCAGUUCUAUACUUCAGGCAGCUUGCCCAAUCUCUAGGGCAGAAGACUAGUCUAGUAUCUAAGGCAACAGCACAUGGCAGAAAAGGGGAGGGUUUCGCUUUCUUCAUCUACUCUUUCUCCAUACUUCAUUCCAGGAGAUUUUCUGUAUAAUUCUAAGGAGUAAGCUGAAAGCUAAAAAGCAAAAGGGAGCUUCAUAAAUGAGAAUAUGCACAAUAUUUCAAGUAUAUUGAAUGAUCUAGAAAAUUUUCAAAAGGUAGGGAUAAUCAGAGUCAAAUAAGGAGAAUGCAGGUUGUUCACCAAAUUAGUUCAGGGUUAAAAGUUUCAUUUGAUUAUGAGUUCAAUGGGGGUAGAAAAUUAUUUGACAGCAGUCUUUUGGGCUGCUUUUAGAUACCCUAAGGAGAAAACAGAGUACAACUUCGGGGAGGGGUGACUGCUCAAUUUCUCACCAUAGCCUUUUUGUCAUAUAGCUUGUUGCUAUGGAGAAGGCCGUGAAGGCAGCAACUAAAGGAAAUAAAGGAUCUGGCAGGAGUAAGCACAGGGAUAGUAGAUUAAACAAAAAUUUCUUGAGCAAUUAGUGAGUAGCAGGGCCUAUAAAUGACAUACUUUUCUUGUUUUUCCUAACCCCUACCCCUUUGAAAGUACAUGGGCUUGGUUUACCACUAUAAUUUAAUUGAAAUACAGAGAAGCCUGAAUGGGCCUAACAAAGCUUAAGCCUGGCAGACAAAACACAAGGCCACUUAGCAAUGCUGCCUAAUGCCAGGAGGAAUCAGCUACCUACCCACCCUAUCCUGGUGAAAUUAUCUCCAGCUGCCUAAAUUAUAAAGUUGAUGCCCUGUGAUUUCUUUGUUCUGUAAAGCCUGAGGGAGAUGGAAUAAUGAGGUAUCAGAAGAGGUGGAGAACAGCCCCUUGUUUCAGAGUAGUCAGAGAGAGAGAGAGCGAGUUAAAGAGAGAAAUGGAGUUAGUUCUCACCGGUAUCAUUAAGAGGCAGCAGCAGCCUCAGUAGCAAUAGCUUGGGAGCAAAGCUCUGCUUGAACUAGUCUGAAACUACUGCUGUGGGAGAAAAGGCUAGUUGCCAACUUUGUUAAUAGCUUCUGCCUAUCAUUGUUACAGCAGCUUUAUCAAAUAGGGCAGGGCCAGGACCUGUUUUUAGCAGUGUAAGCACUAAGACCAGAGGGCUCAACAUCUUCCAGCAGAUUUCAUCACAACCAAUGACUAACAAAGACAAGUCCCUCUUCUAUUCCACAUAAAUGAUUACAGAGUUGUAAAUAUCAGAGCUAGAAGGAUCAUAGAGAUCAUGUAGUCCAACCUCCUCAUUUUACAAAUAAGGAAAUUAAGGCCCAGAUAGUCAAACGACCUUAUUAACAGAGCAAGAAAACACCAAGGCUCUCAAAUAGGACUUUUUCCCCUUUGAAUCACACUUCAAAGCUAAGUUAGUUAGGGCUAAUGAUUAAUCCCAGGCAAUACCAGUAAGAUAUUUAUUGCCUAGGUAUCACUCAACUAAAUUCCUAAGUAUCAGGAUGAUUUUGAUAACAAAAUAGGUCUGGGUUUUGUUACUGAAAUAUAAAAAGAAUCUCAUUUGCAAACAACCUUACCUAUCUGGCAAGCUCACAGCCUAGUCACCUAUAUAUACUGCCUGACUGUGCUUUGCUUGGGGGAGGGAGGAGGUGUGUGAGCAUGCACAAAGGGAGACUCUCUUUCUCCCCUGGAGAUUAGUCUAUUUUGCCAUUUGCAAAAUGAAACUCAAAAAAGCCGGUGACUGAAAUUUUUCCCAAGGUCUUCAGGAUUUAAAUGUAUGACAGUGGACAUAUAACACAAUCCACAAAGGUAUAUAAACACGUCACUGCCCUAAAGUAUCCUCUGGGAGUAAGCUGCUAGGUGGGAAUGUGUUGGCUGUUGUUUUUGGUGGGGGAGGGGUGGGAGAAAGUAGGUACUGAUUUCCCUAAUGUUUCCUUUGUGUGGCUGCUGUUGCCAUGUGGUGGUCUGUUGCUAUGAAGAUUUGUGGUGUCAGACAAUGGCUGCUAGGCUCUUUAUGACUGUGCUAUUGGUAGAGCUAUUUCUUCGGGAUUCAAGCUAGUAUGCAACUGGCUAAACAGUGGAGAAAGCUUGGUUGUUACUGUGCCCCAUCUCUCCUCUAGGGUAGCCAACAAGAUGUAAGCAGAAGUCUUAUGGUGUGGCUUCUGGGAAACCUCUCCAAAGAUCUUCAGAGAAUGAUCUUUGCAGGAAAUCUCUGUUACCUGAAGAUGAAAAGGAAUGUGAACCAACUCUGAUCCCAAUUCAGACCUUCGCCAACUGACAGUUCAGUUGCCAGCACUACAGGAAAGAGAAGCCUGGAAGUACAUUAUGGGAAAAGAAGUAGAUAGGUCUUCAGUGUAAAAUCUGAAGGGGUCAUCAAACUCCUGCCUACUCCUUUCUCUCCAAGAAUAUGCUGUGGGGAAGAAAAGAUGAAGAUGCGGGAAGAUGGGAGAAAAGAAUCCUAACAUAAGAUAUAGAAGAUACACAACGGGCUAACAUCAUAAUCCAGCUAGUAAUAAAACUCUUGGCCAGGACACAAGGAAGCAGUUCCCAAUAUGCCAACUAAGGUAGCUACCUUCUUGGUGUUCCUCAGUGACCCAUACUGAGCCCCUUUCAUUCAAUACAGACACAUUCUUCCUGGGUAAGUGCACUCACUUCUAUGGCAUCAAUUACCAUUUAUGUGUUCACAUUAAUAAACUCUUAAAUCUUUAGAUUUCCAGUUCUCUCUCUCACACAUCCAGUCCUCAAGAGACAUUUCUACUUGGUUGUUCAUUCAUUCAACUCCCUCUUCCAAAUUAACUACCAUUUAUCCUUCAGAUAUUUACUCAAACUUCUUCACGGAUAUUUUCCCUGA
rnacentral:lncRNA from 1 species